rnacentral:snRNA from 1 species
AUACUUACCUGGUAGGGUAAUCAUGUGAUCAUGAAGGUAGUUUUCCCAAGGUGAGACUUGUCCACUGCACUCUGGAUAUGCUGACCUCUGCAAUUGCCCAAAUGUGGGAAACUCAAAGGCAUACUUUGUGGUAGUGGGGGAAUGUGCUUGUGUUUUCCCCUG